AGAUUGAACGCUGGCGGCAGGCCUAACACAUGCAAGUCGAGCGGUAGAGAGGUGCUUGCAUCUCUUGAGAGCGGCGGACGGGUGAGUAAUGCCUAGGAAUCUGCCUAGUGGUGGGGGAUAACGUUCGGAAACGGACGCUAAUACCGCAUACGUCCUACGGGAGAAAGCGGGGGACCUUCGGGCCUCGCGCCAUUAGAUGAGCCUAGGUCGGAUUAGCUAGUUGGUGAGGUAAUGGCUCACCAAGGCGACGAUCCGUAACUGGUCUGAGAGGAUGAUCAGUCACACUGGAACUGAGACACGGUCCAGACUCCUACGGGAGCAGCAGGUGGGGGAAUAGUUGGACAAGUGGGGACGAAAGGCCUGACUCCAGCC
rnacentral:rRNA from 1 species